CACGCUUCAGCAUAAGAAUGGAAGCCAUGUGUGGAGAGAACAGAGGAGACAUGUAGGGGGAGCCUGGGUCCUGUAAUAUUCAUCUAAAUGCAGAAGACCCCUACUUCCUUCUCCACCAAAAUGCCUUUUAAUUAGGCUUCCUUGGUGGCGCAGUGGUUGACAGUCCGCCUGCCGAUUCAGGAGACACAAGUUCGUGCCCCGGUCCAGGAAGAUCCCACAUGCCGCGGAGCGGUUGGGCCCGUGAGCCAUGGCCACUGGGCCUGUGCGUCUGGGAGCCUGUGCUCCGCAACGGGAGAGGCCACAACGGUGAGAGGCCCGCACACCGCAAAAAAACAAAACAGAACAAAAAAUGGUUCAGAAGACAAAUUUCAUUUUCUGUUUUCAACCAUAACUAAUCUCCAGAACAUGUUAAUCUUACAAAACUGGAACUCUAUACCCAUUAAAUAAUUGACUCUUCAUUUCCACCUCCCUGCAGCCCCUGGCAUCCACCAUUCUACUUUUUAUGUCUAUGAAUUUGACUACUCCAGAUGCCUCAUAUAAUUCCAAUCAUACAACAUUUUUCUGGGACUGACUUAUUUCACUCAGCAUAAUGUUUUCAAGGCUCAUCCACGCUGUAGCAUGUACCAGAUAAGUAAUAUUUCAUUGUGUGCACAUACCACAUUUUGUUUAUCCAUUCAUCCUUUGAUGGGUAUUUCUCUUGCUUCAACCUUUUGGCUCUUUUGAGUAGUUCUGCUACGAAUAUGGGCAUUUAGAUGAUGUUUUAAACUGCUGAACUUGUGGCAUUUUGUGACACAGCAUGAGAAAACUAAUAAACCUGGUUUUACUUUAUUUAAUGGUGUCAGCAUUAAUAUAACUACAUUUAUUAAUCAAGAUACAAAACAGAGUGUGGGAAGUAACCAAUGCAUAUGAUAAAAUACGACUUGAUAUGUCAUCUAAAGAUUGGAGUUACACACUAGUCAAAAUAAUACAUAAGAUACUUUUUAAGAGUACUUGCAAAUAUAUUCCACAAACCAAUUUUACUAUCAAAAAAGAAGCAUACAUGCUCUAAAACAACUUAAGUGACUAAAGACACACAAUUAUAUUUUGAAUGGUACUGAGAUGAAAACAAAACGAAACUCUGUAUCUAUACAGCUACUCACUACUCAUCAGAGUAAGAGAAAGGUAUAUGAAAUUAACUGACCCAAAUGGUUCACAGAGGCUACAUCAUUAUGCCUGUAUUGCUUUAAACAACAGUGUUCUAAUUUUCACUUGAAUGACAGUUCUUAUAUUUCUGUUUUAAGUAUUAAGCUAAAGAACAUAAUUAAAAUUUUAGUGUGAUACAUGGAUGCUUCCGUCAGCCUUCUACCUGGAGAGUUUUGAAACAGUUGUGACACA